CGCGGAACUUUAACAGAGGUUUUAAAGAUAAAAACUGAUUUAAUUAAAUGAAAAUUAAAACAAUAGGCAAUUACCGAUCCUUAGAAAGGGAUUUUGGUAACCGUUUUUAAAGGGAGUUUUUCGAACACGUGUAAGCACUUUUUCUCUCUGUUCUUUCUUUCUCGACUUCUCCUUUGGCGAUUGAAACCGGCGUCUCCUCCGGCUUCUAUGAUCUCCUCACGGCGUCUCUUUUUCUCCAUUGAGAAUCACAGAAGAGAUUGAGAUGUCAACACUAGCAAAGAAGAGGCUUAUGAGGGAUUUCAGGAGGUUGCAGCAAGAUCCGCAAGCUCCUCCUGCUGGUAUCAGUGGGGCUCCUCAAGACAACAACAUCUUGCUCUGGAACGCUGUCAUCUUCAGCCCAGAUGAUACGCCUAGGGAUGGAGUUGAACAGAACUUACAGAACCAAUGGAGUCCCAUCUAUGUAUCUCUUUCUUUGUCGACAAAGCCGUUGCUAUCACGUUGGAUACAAAGGCUACAGAUGUUCGGUACAACUUGUAAUAGUGUUUGAAGCAUGGUUGUGAAAUGUGUCCAGAGUGCUCUUCUGUUGCAUCUGUGGAGUUAACAGAGACAAGAAACAAUGCAACAAUACAAGAAACAAUUACAGCAAUCGUUAGAUAUGUGGAAAUAAUGGAGAAAGGAUUCUUCGGGUUGAAGAGUGGAGGUAAAAGCUUGGGAAGUCUAAUGCUGCAACUAAUUGCUAUUAUUUAUGGAGAACAUGCGGUAACAGGAAAGCUCCGGAAACAUAUAUGGAGGUAAAACCUUCAAUUCAUCCUCUUAAAGGCAAGAAGAAUGCUCAUCUUCUACAUACCAUGUUCAAUCAACCAGUGCUCAUGGUAUUGUGGUUACUCUCAAACACACCACAUGAGGGAUGAUGAUAUUUCUUGGAAUUGUCAAAGGUUGGGAAUACCUCUGAAAAUUCCACAUCUUAAUGCUAUUAGAACUUUUGCAGGUUCAAGUACGAUUUGAAGCAUUUUGAAGAUUCUAGAGAUAUUUGGAUCAUGAAGAGAACUGAUGCUGAAAAGUUAAAGUCGGAGUCGAUCUGUCACUACGGUGUCGAUCGACACUCAGUUUGGUAUCGGCCGACACCCGUCUCAAGUUAACAAACUGACAUGCUUUAAUGAUGUUUGAAGAAUUAUACAAAACCCAAAAGUUUUCCUUAUUUGAAGAGAAGCUUCUAAUCGUGUUUUUACCUAUAUUAGGUUUUCUUAAGCAACUUUUUAGGCGACCCCAAAUUAAAUUUUAGAGAGAUUUGAAGAGAAAGAUCAGCACUCAUUCAGAGAUUGAUUU